ensembl:lncRNA LINC01289 long intergenic non-protein coding RNA 1289
AUGACGAUCAUGGCAUGGAAAGUAAAAAUGACUGUAUGUGUCAGUGUCAGAGAGGCCUAAGGAACUUUCACCAAGUCUCCUACAGAACAGAGAAGAGAGGCUAUGAUUUCCUUAUGUUCCUGAGAAAGGCAAAGCAUUUGUCUGAAAGCGAAAGCCAGGAGAUCAAAGUAACUUCCCUGUCACAAGAGGAAACAUGAGAGCAGAAUUCAGCAUGAGUUUUGUAUAUGGCAAUCAAGUAUAUUCAUGGCUAUCUAAAUGAAUGUCCACGUAGAAGUCAGGCAGCACAAAGAACAAGAUAUAACAGCUGAACGUCCCACUGAAAACCAGCUAAGUGUUGAUCACAACCAUCAAAAAAAUUCUUGUCUUUACUUACAGUGUGACUGUAACUUUCAGAAAGUAACACAUCAGUAAAAUGCAGAGAUGGAAAUCUAGAAUUUCUUGCAGCUUGGCAGCAUAGGAGCCAAUGGGGUAGCAAUGUGAAAGUCAAGAAGUACACCUCAUCUCCAGGACAGCAAGAGUGAUCCCUGCCUGACAAUGAUGCUGGGAGAAGAUGUGCCGGUGCUCAAGAAGGCACCGUCCCUCAUGCACAGCCACAUGCCACAGGUCACACAACAUUGGCAGGAGUCCAGACCACUUUUUGUCUAGUAGUAGCUUUACUGGGACCUACUAUAACUUGGGCAAGUUAAGUCUUCUUCCUGGAUUUUGUUUCUCUUUAAACGAGAGAAUAAGAGUAGAUGGGCUACAAAGUUCCCAAAGAACUUAGCUAAGAUUCUGGCAUAUAGUUACAGUAUGGAUUAAGUAGAAGGUGAUGAGGCAGAGAGUGAACAUGACAUUGGUGUGUGGCCAGAUUUACACUUGGACCUUCUUUAGCGGGGGCACCCGUUGAAAAUCAGCCUGCAAAUCCUCAAUAAAUCCAGCACUGCCAGUUUUUUUCAUUCUGAAACAGACUGCAUUUGGUGAGGCAGGAGGGUUGAAAAGGUAUGGAACAGAGAUGGUGCCAAAGGAUGGAAUGAUCACCUGCAAAGUGGACUAAUUCAGCAGAAGCAGUCCUUUAGAGACACGGGUGACCUGAGAAAGUAAGCACCAACCCUCCACCCUACACCUGGAAAUUCUCAUCAACACUUUGAGUACAAAGGACCUCUAUGAACUGUGAAUCCGAUGUUUCUAUCUUAAGAGGCAGAAAAACCUCAGCUGGCAUGUAGUUUUCUAGGAGGAGAAGGGAACGCUGGAAAGAUGUUUUGUUUCGCAGAAGCCUGCCUGUACUGAGUCUUCUGAAUUCCAUAUGGAGUUCUCUGAAUUCCCAGACACCCUGUCUUUGGCAGAACCCAACUGCUGAGACUGACAGUAGCCACCUGAGCAUAUUGUAUGUUGUAAGUGAUUCAACCUCAAGCGCAUGACUGGCUGGGCUUAAGGUAAAAUGUGAUCCCUUUCCUAUGCUUUGAAAGAUUCUUUGGCCAUAUGGCAGGACAAAAAGAAACUCAAAGAGGAUCUGCUAAGCCCUCAAGUGAUAAGGUGCAAGAAAAAGAGGAACCCAAACUUUCUGAGGCAAUGGAGGAGGUUGAACAAUAUCAACUCUCCUUUUGCCACCUCUUUCAAAUACAUAUUCCAAAACAGGCCAGAGCUUGUGUUAGUCUAGGAUAGUCACAACCAUCCAGUUAUCUUUCAGGGUUUCAUCUUCCCUCUAACUAUGAUAAAAUAUAAAGAACAAG